GGAUGUGAGGGCGAUUUGGCUGUGACAUCUGUCACCCCAUUGAUCGCCAGGGUUGAUUCAGCUGAUCUGGCUGGCUAGGCGGGUGUCCCCUUCCUCCCUCACCGCUCCAUGUGCGUCCCUCCCGAAGCUGCGCUCUUGGUCGAAGAGGACAGCCUUCCCUGAAUAGAGAUGGACCAGUCUUCGGUUGAGGGUAUAUGAGUAGCUGCGCUCCCCUGCUAGAACCUCCAAACAAGCUCUCAAGAAAUAUAAGUAAAGUCCUAGAGGUUCUGGAACUGGGAAGAAUAUGGAUUUUAAAGAAAAUGGGGAGGAUUCCUUGCAGUUUAAAGAGUCAGUAGAUAAUUAUUAUUAUAACCAAGUUAGUUGGGAGCUUGCUUUUCUU
rfam:Erinaceus europaeus unplaced genomic scaffold scaffold00248, whole genome shotgun sequence